rnacentral:rRNA from 1 species
UACGGAAGGUCCGGGCGUUAUCCGGAUUUAUUGGGUUUAAAGGGAGCGUAGGCCGGAGAUUAAGCGUGUUGUGAAAUGUAGACGCUCAACGUCUGCACUGCAGCGCGAACUGGUUUCCUUGAGUACGCAUAAAGUGGGCGGAAUUCGUGGUGUAGCGGUGAAAUGCUUGGAUAUCACGAAGAACUCCGAUUGCGAAGGCAGCUCACUGGGGCGCAACUGACGCUGAAGCUCGAAAGCGCGGGUAUCGAACAGGAUUAGAUACCCUGGUAGUCCGCGCGGUAAACGAUGGAUGCCCGCUGUUGGGCCAACUGGUUCAGCGGCCAAGCGAAAGCAUUAAGCAUCCCACCUGGGGAGUACGCCGGCAACGGUGAAACUCAAAGGAAUUGACGGGGGCCCGCACAAGCGGAGGAACAUGUGGUUUAAUUCGAUGAUACGCGAGGAACCUUACCCGGGCUUGAAUUGCAGAGGAAGGAUUUGGAGACAAUGACGCCCUUCGGGGCCUCUGUGAAGGUGCUGCAUGGUUGUCGUCAGCUCGUGCCGUGAGGUGUCGGCUUAAGUGCCAUAACGAGCGCAACCCCUCCCCUUAGUUGCCAUCAGGUCACGCUGGGCACUCUGGGGACACUGCCACCGUAAGGUGUGAGGAAGGUGGGGAUGACGUCAAAUCAGCACGGCCCUUACGUCCGGGGCUACACACGUGUUACAAUGGCAGGUACAGAGAGAUGGUGUUCUGCAAAGCGCAUCAAAUCCUUAAAGCCUGUCUCAGUUCGGACUGGGGUCUGCAACCCGACCCCACGAAGCUGGAUUCGCUAGUAAUCGC